rnacentral:rRNA from 1 species
GACAGAGGGUGCAAACGUUGUUCGGAAUUACUGGGCGUAAAGCGCGUGUAGGCGGCCCUGCAAGUCGGAUGUGAAAUCCCACGGCUCAACCGUGGAAGUGCAUUCGAAACUGCAGGGCUAGAGUCCUGGAGAGGAAGGUGGAAUGCUUGGUGUAGAGGUGAAAUUCGUAGAUAUUCGCAAGAACACCAGUGGCGAAGGCGGCUCACUGGCCCGGUACUGACGCUGAGGCACGAAAGCGUGGGGAGCAAACAGG